rnacentral:tRNA from 3 species
AGCGGGGUGGGGUAGCCAGGAAAUCCCGACGGGCUCAUAACCCGUAGAUCGGUGGUUCAAAUCCACCCCCCGCUA